rnacentral:rRNA from 1 species
UACGAAGGGGGCUAGCGUUGUUCGGAAUCACUGGGCGUAAAGCGCACGUAGGCGGAUCUUUAAGUCAGGGGUGAAAUCCUGGAGCUCAACUCCAGAACUGCCUUUGAUACUGGCGAUCUUGAGUCCGGGAGAGGUGAGUGGAACUGCGAGUGUAGAGGUGAAAUUCGUAGAUAUUCGCAAGAACACCAGUGGCGAAGGCGGCUCACUGGCCCGGUACUGACGCUGAGGUGCGAAAGCGUGGGGAGCAAACAGG